rnacentral:rRNA from 1 species
UACGUAGGUGGCAAGCGUUGUCCGGAUUUACUGGGCGUAAAGAGCGCGCAGGCGGUCGUUCAAGUCGCGUGUGAAAGCCCCCGGCUCAACUGGGAGGGUCACGCGAUACUGAUCGACUCGAAGGCAGGAGAGGGUAGUGGAAUUCCCGGUGUAGUGGUGAAAUGCGUAGAUAUCGGGAGGAACAUCCGUGGCGAAGGCGACUACCUGGACCAGCACUGACACUGAGGCACGAAAGCGUGGGGAGCAAACAGG